CUGGAAAAUCACAUUUGUAUUCAUUACCUCACUGUAGUGCUCACCCUGUGAAGAAUUUGGCCCACUCUCCUUUAUCUCCUUAUUAGAAAUACUCUUUUCGUUUCCGAACCAGGCGAUCCUGAGUUCCAUCUUCACAUUGCGGCUCCUGCAUAAGUGACAAGCAGAGUCUGUGUGACGGGAUUUCCUGCGAAUAGUUUGGGAGCAAUUCACCCUGCUAUUCUACUGCAUGGUUGCUUAAUUAUUUAAUUAGUAAUCUAAUCAAUGGCACGGUUCCUAAGCAGAGGGAAUCUGUAAGCUGGAACGCCACAUAGGCUAAGAGAGAAGAGCCUUUGCAGGCUAGCACGAACGUCCUGGGGGUUGUCAUCUACAGGACGGUUUGUCACCCGGCAGGGCGAGCCUGUGUGUUCUGAUGUCUGGGGCUGAGUGUUCAGACCUGUGAGUUUACAGGCAGCUUAACUGAGAGCCUGGCCCGGGAACCCUGCAGUCAGGAUGGCUGUGGACGCCCCGUGGGGACUUCUCGGGCACUUGCAGGAUCCCGGGCACCGAAAGCACGGCCGACUCCAACCGAGGCCUCAGUGACUCCCAUCCUAGGCCUUUGAGGAAUCACCACAACUGCCCUUAUUUUCACUGCCUUUAAAAAAAUCCCUUCUUCUUGGGGCUCGGCCUGUGAAGU
rnacentral:lncRNA from 12 species